GAGUUUGAUCGUGGCUCAGAUUGAACGCUGGCGGCAUGCCUAACACAUGCAAGUCGAACGGUAACGCGGGGGCAACCCUGGCGACGAGUGGCGGACGGGUGAGUAAUACGUAGGAAUCUGCCCAUUAGUGGGGGACAACCCGGCGAAAGCCGGGCUAAUACCGCAUACGCUCUACGGAGGAAAACGGGGGAUCGUAAGACCUCGUGCUAAUGGAUGAGCCUACGUCGGAUUAGCUAGUUGGUAGGGUAACGGCCUACCAAGGCGACGAUCCGUAGCUGGUCUGAGAGGACGAUCAGCCACACUGGGACUGAGACACGGCCCAGACUCCUACGGGAGGCAGCAGUGGGGAAUAUUGGACAAUGGGGGCAACCCUGAUCCAGCAAUGCCGCGUGUGUGAAGAAGGCCUGCGGGUUGUAAAGCACUUUCAGAGGGGAAGAAAAAGCGGAGCUAACACCUCCGUUCUUGACGUUACCCUUAGAAGAAGCACCGGCUAACUCCGUGCCAGCCGCCGCGGU
rnacentral:rRNA from 1 species